CUUUUCUAUAAAGUUAGUGAAACUUAAGAUAAUUUGACUGAGUCGAUCAAAUUCCUUGCUGGUAACCAUCAGAGAGACUCACGCAGUAAGUAUUCAGAUAUUUUAGCAGAUACACGUCGCCUUUUCUCGGCCCCUCAGUUAGAUGUUACAGAACAUAAGGUUAAGGCCUUGAAUGUGUCCAUACUUCAAAUCGGCAAUAAACUCAUCCAGCGGCAAACGGAUGACUGGCUGUCAUAUUCAGGAUCAAAACAAGCGUACUUAUUAUCGGAGGAGUCUCCAGCAUGAAAAGCUUCGCUGUCUAGUGGAGUCUCUAGGAUGAUGUGACCACACGUCCACAUUCAAUGAACCGGUAAAGAAGAAAGAAAAAAAUGGGAAAUGACACUCCACUAUACGAAGUGCAGGUGGUUGUGCUGUGCGUAUUAAUUUGUAACACUUUUGUCACUCAUCCAGUUAACAUGUCGAGUACCGAGGAACACCAACGUAUCAACAAGUUGUUUUUUUUUUUGGUGGGGUGGGGGGUCAACUUGUGAAAUCAGUCCCAAAACUAUGUGCUAGCCAUGGAAACUAACUGCAGAACAUUUGACAGGACACCCAAACUUACGGUUUAGCAAAUGCUACUCUGACUGAAUCGAGAAAUGCACAGAGCUAAAGUACAAUGGAGACGGCAGAAUUGAAGGCAUGCAGUGCUGAACUGAUGAUGAAGCAAAGAUCAUACUUAC
rnacentral:lncRNA from 7 species